CAGUAGCCGCGGGAAAACGGAGGGGGCUAGCGUUGUUCGGAAUUACUGGGCGUAAAGCGUGCGUAGGCGGUUCGUUAAGUCUGUUGUGAAAUCCCCGGGCUCAACCUGGGAACUGCAUCUUAUACUGCGUAGCUGGAGUGCAGUAGAGGGUAGUGGAAUUUCCGGUGUAGCGGUGAAAUGCGUAGAUAUCGGAAGGAACACCAGUGGCGACGGCGGCUACCUGGACUGACACUGACACUGAGGCGCGAAAGCGUGGGGAGCAAACAGGAUUAGAUACCCCUGUAGUCCCUGUCUCUUAUAC
rnacentral:rRNA from 1 species